rnacentral:misc_RNA from 1 species
AUGUCCUCAAGCAUGAUUACUGAAAAUGGGUUCCUCCUAACAGCCUCUACUGUUCGAUCAAGUCCUGUUUUACCACGGAAAUUCACUUCAGAUUCUCCAUCAUCGCGUCGCGCACCAAGAGAUACCAUUAUUGGAUUGGUCCCACAGACCAGAUCUGAUAGAGCUGAUGCCAUCUUCUUUUUGCCAACCCCGUCAGGACCUGUGAACAGUAGCCAAAUAUCACCCUUAGAUGCACUACCCCGCCGUUUACCAUUGCCCAAUUUGCAUUGUGUCACGGUUGUAGCUACUGCAGAGGCUGGGGCUGCUUCUCGCUGCCACCAAACCUUCUCAAGAAGACCCUUGAGUAGUCUCUUAAAUGAAUCCGCAUCUAACGCACUUAGAAGCUUGUUGGCCUGCAAGUCAUGCAACUUGAUCUGUGGCUCAGAAGCAACAACACCAAAAAAGUCUUUAAUGCUCUCCUCAUGGCCUUUCUCAGGAGUGUUUUCGCUGCUCUUUGGCCGCCCAAGAACCAGGUCUGUCUUCACAGGGCUUCCUGGCGGAGUAAUUGCCUGACCAGGUGAUUGGCUGGGAAACAGAUUUGGGUUCAGUUGUGGAGAUCCACCAAUAUUUCUAUUCAAACCUAACUUGGGCUGGAAAUGUUGGCGAGGAAGGAGGUUAGUAUUGUACAAGCUCAUCGUAGAGAGAGCCGGUUGUGUAAUUCUCUCAGAGCCAACAUUAGGCUGAUGAUAAACAGGAUGAAGAUGCAAGCACUUGUAAUGCCAUUUCUUCUGCAACUCUAGACUCUUCUGCUUAAAAAUUAAUUCUUGAUCUUUAGUCAGAGUCUGAUCCAACGUUUUAGCAUCAACAUCUUGAGACUUGGCACUUUUCAGCCACUGUGGUAGUAGUUGCUGAGUUGUUUCUGAUUUAAAUUCUGAAGAAGAUAUCUCAGAUUCUUUUGGGAUAGUUUUUGCGAGCUCUUGCUCAUAAUUGUGCAUACAUUGUGGGCAACAACUCAUUCUUUGAGCAGGAUCCAAGUUCUCAGUAAGACGCCUUGGUGGAGUAGGUGUAAUGGUUGGAAAGCCCUUCAAAGGUGAAAAAGAUUCAACUGAGUUGCUUAGAAUCCCAUUGGUUCCAAGCCUCGGAAACAUUCCUGGAAGAGGUGCUCUAGGAGCGAUUG